rnacentral:rRNA from 1 species
GACGAACGCUGGCGGCGUGCUUAACACAUGCAAGUCGAGCGGUAAGGCCCUUUCGGGGGUACGACGAGCGGCGAACGGGUGAGUAACACGUGGGUGACCUGCCCUCAGCUCUGGGAUAAGCCCGGGAAACUGGGUCUAAUACCGGAUAUGACUCCAUGACGCAUGUUGUGGGGUGGAAAGCCUUGUGCGGCUGAGGAUGGGCCCGCGGCCUAUCAGCUUGUUGGUGGGGUGAGGCCCUACCAAGGCGACGACGGGUAGCCGGCCUGAGAGGGCGACCGGCCACACUGGGACUGAGACACGGCCCAGACUCCUACGGGAGGCAGCAGUGGGGAAUCUUGCGCAAUGGGCGAAAGCCUGACGCAGCGACGCCGCGUGAGGGAUGACGGCCU